rnacentral:rRNA from 1 species
UACGGGGGGGGCAAGCGUUGUUCGGAACUACUGGGCGUAAAGGGUGCGUAGGCGGCUUUCUAAGUUGGAUGUGAAAACUCUGGGCUCAACCCAGAGACUGCAUCCAAAACUGGAGAGCUUGGGUUCUGGAGGGGAAAGCGGAAUUCCUGGUGUAGCGGUGAAAUGCGUAGAUAUCAGGAGGAACACCGGUGGCGAAGGCGCCUAUCUGGCCCGAUACUGACGCUGAGGCGCGAAAGCUAGGGGAGCAAACGGG